rnacentral:rRNA from 1 species
GAUGAACGCUGGCGGCGUGCCUAAUACAUGCAAGUCGAGCGAACAGAUGAGGAGCUUGCUCCUCUGACGUUAGCGGCGGACGGGUGAGUAACACGUGGAUAACCUACCUAUCAGACUGGGAUAACUUCGGGACACCGGAGCUAAUACCGGAUAAUCUCUUGAACCGCAUGGUUCAAUAGUGAAAGACGGUUUUGCUGUCACUUCUAGAUGGAUCCGCGCCGCAUUAGCUAGUUGGUAAGGAAACGGCUUACCAAGGCAACGAUGCGUAGCCGACCUGAGAGGGUGAUCGGCCACAUUGGAACUGAAACACGGUCCAGACUACUACGGGAGGCAGCAGAAGGCAAUCUUACGCAAUGGGCGAAAGCCUGACGGAGCAACGCCGCGUGAGUGAUGAAGGUCUUCGGAGCGUAAAACUCUGUUAUUAGGGAAGAACAAAUGUGUAAGUAACUAUGCACGGCGUGACGGUACCUAAUCAGAAAGCCACGGCUAACUACGUG